CGUCGCAAAAGGGUUAUAUAAACACACUACGUCCCCUUCUUUUCGUCCCUCGCACAGAUUUCAUUAUGUUUUGGUCCUCACAUCUAAUGGAUUCUUUGUAGCAUUAGGAGCUGAUGAAAAAAGAGUAGAGAAAAAUUUUUCUGCAAGAACAACAUUUGCCGCAUCAGAUGGAUGGAAUGCAUCCCAAAAUACGUAAUCAUUGCGGUUGCUGCACAGCUUUGAGUUUGGCAAGCAUAAUCCCCCAAUGCUUGUGUCUACAUUGCAACAUGAUGUAUUUGAAACCUUAAAACCUGUGUGAUGAUGAUAUAGUAUUAGACCAUGUCUACCAAAAUUUGAAUGAAAGAAUUUGCUUAGUAUGAAUAUGUCUUAAGGAUUUGAUUUUAAGCUCUGAAAUUACCAUAGGUAGUGGGAUUAUUGAUCAAGUCAAGAACUAAUGGAUAGGUGUCUGCAAAUAUGAGCUUUGAAUUUGGAAGACGAUGGUUGAGUGUGUUCAGUAGCUUUUGUACUUUAGAGUUGAAUUCAAGGAUCCACUCAUUAACUCUCUUUAAACAUUGACCUUUUCUGGAUUUUACCCUCUGUGAUGGAAUGCAACCUAGUGGACCAACUCCAUGGAAGACCAUUUUUCUUGCUCCCAGCUGAUAUAGUCUCUAGAAAUAAGCAAAUUUAUUUGACUAUAUUACAGGUUUUCACUAAUAUUGAUAGGGGUGUUCAAAAAUACCAGUAAACUGAAACUAUAGUUUUUAUGGUGUAGUUUAGUUUUAAACCAAAUAAAAUUGGUUUAUAGGUUAAAACUAGUUUAACUAAAUUGAAGAGAGAGAGGGAGAGAAAGAGAGAGGGGAGAGGAGAGAGAGAGAGAAAGAGAGAGAGAGAGAGAGAGGAUGUAAAAAUUAAUUUUUUAUAGGUCAAAAUUAGUUUUAGUCUAUAAAUCAAUUUCUGGUGACUAGCCUAUAAAUCAGUUAAAUACUUUAAUCUGAUUAUUAAAACUAGUUUUAAUUUUAUGAAUUGGUUUAAAUGGAUGCACUGUAUUAUAAACUGCAUUUUCCAGUUGAGAAGGAUCUAUAACUUAAAUUAACAAAGUAUUAUGCAGUGUUUUUAUUACCGAAAGUUGUUGAUCCAAGGUUGAAAUUAAGAGUUCUACAAAUUCAUCAUGUGUGUAUUGCUGGCCAUCUGCUAGGAAAGGCUGCAAGAAAUUAUUGACGUAGUCAUUGCUUCCUGGAAAAGUACAAUUCAUCGACUUUAGUAUAUGAGGUGGAUAACUGAAGUUCUAAACAUUGAAAUCAAUAUUUAUGCAAAAAUAUACCAAUUCCAAUGAAGUACAUGGCAUCAUUGCAAUGCUUGAUUGCUGCUGCUUCACCUACUCUUGCCGUGAUUACAUCUUUGGUUCUCUUGAAGCUGUUUAUUUGAUCAUCAAAGGAUAAUCUCUGAAUCUAAAACAUUUAAUGUAGAAAUAGGGGGAAAAUGUUAGAUAAGAAGCUACUAAGCUGUAAAAUAAUAAGAAUCAUGUAGGUUUAAAAAUGUCUUUGCUUACAAAAUAGAGUCCAGUAUCAUUGAGAAUUCCUGCACCACCAGAUGCAUAAUUUACUCCUUUAAGGAGGGCAUCACUGUUUUGAGACACUGCAAGAUAAGCUGGUGGUGAUGGUAUUCCAAGCUUUGCAGC